UGAGCCCUGAAUUGGCGCCAGUUAAAACUCAGUUCGAUCAAAUCCAAGGACAGGAGAAACUGCAGGAGAGAAAGCAAGCAGAAUUGGCUACAAGCUGCAGGAAUACGUGUUCAGAGGAAACUUCUGCAGUGGAGCGAACUGGGAGAGAACCACUCACACAAAAACCAAAUGACUUGCAGAGCACAGGCACUGUCCUGGUUUAAAGCAUGAGAAUGUAGACAGAUGUCCAUACGGGUUUGAAAUCAGCAUCUUGGACAACGUCUGCAGCACUGGGCUUAUGGUUUGCAGUUGCCACAGGUAAGGAAAUGGGCAUUGAUAUCCCCUGCACCCUUGUGAGAGUUGUACCACAGACAGCAGAGUUUAGCCCCAGAAAUUAGUGUCUUUCCACUCUGAAAUGUCUGCCAUGCUUACUACAGGGUCAGGUACUGCAUUGCUUACAGGCAAGCCAGUGAUCUGUGGUUUAGCACAGGGCAGCUGCUCCCUUGACAUCAUUGAGGGUGGUCAGAAAGCCAGCACCAGGCAAAAAACUAUGUUUUAGUUUCCUCAUCAUCAUCUGAGGAGGAGGAGAGGAGAAGGAACAGGUGAGACAAUCAGAACUGAAUGCUUCCAGCCAUAAUUAACAGCAAAUCUCAGCGGCACACACAGAGAGCUCUGUGACACCCACAUGGAAGAGCUUGUUUAGGAUGGAAUGCUGGCCUCGGGGUCUACUGUCAGCUGGGAAUAUUGAUGUGAUUAACAAUGAUUUGAUUUGGAUAUCAAUGCAAGGGAGAUUGUUUGCUUGCUUUGUCCAAUUUAGUCCAUGAAAUAUUGGCUUCACUACAGGGAGAAAUUCAGCUGAAGCAGGAAGGGGAAUUUGAGGAGGGGUGGAGUGGGGAGUGUUUGUUAUUUUGUCAGACAUCCGUCUGGAUUCUAGAUGGUGAAAACUUGAGCAUUCAAUCAAACGUUUUAUAUGUGCCUAUAAUAAUCCAAACAAAGGAACAGCUGACAGCUCAUGAUCAUUUAAAGAUAGAGCGAUUUCUAUUUAGCAAUCUUGUGACUGCAUUUUCUGUAUCUACGUGCAAGGCUUCCUAAUCAUUAUGUGGGUUUUGUUGCAAUUUGGCUGCAAAUGAAACACAGUGAAUUUACAGGAAGCCCAACAAAACCAGUCAGUAUUUAAGAGGAAUAUUAAGAAGCCAUUCUCCUGGGCCGCGCAGCCAAGAGGCUGCAAAUGCCAUUGCUAGGUAUAAAUGGUUGAGCUUCUGUCUUAAUCCUAUCUAUAUCUGGAGAAAUCUUGUGAUAAUUCAUCACAGACAAUGUGUAUUAGAAAGAAGAGACUUUUUUUUUUUUUUCAUUUUAUUCCCAGUAAAUUGUUUCUCUUGCAUUAGCUCCAGGGAGCCUCCAUCAGUGGCUUCUAGGAGCAGUGCAAGGAUCCCUGGGUUUUGUGGAGUGGGUUGGGAAGCAAAGCGGUAACUGAUAAAUGGUCUCUCCUGAUAUGAAUAUGAUUUUUUCAAAUAUGUGAAAAGCUUGCUCAUUAAAUCCUGGAUUCCAUCUUAGGGUACAAUUCUGACACACUAACAUUGCUGAGUAGCCACUUUUUCCAGACAAAGCACUGUAAAAAUCAACACAAGAAGAAACAGCAAACAUCACAUCAGAGUUGAAAGCUCAUUGUCUUAGCAUUGCCCUUGGGAAAUUUAUCCUCCUAAAAGCACCAGCUUUGUCACUUAUGAUGUAAUUAUGUCAUCACUCACUGUGGGAAAUGGAUGAUUUGCCCUCCCCUCUUCCAUACUCAUAUUUACCAUGAAAUGCUGAGUCAUGUCCUGAAGCAGUGAUUGAGCACCUGGUGAGAAGGCAGGGCCCACCCAGAGGAGCUCAAGUGUAUGCAAUGUACCUGAGUGACCAGAAGGGAUGGAGCCAGGAUCCGCCCCUUUCCAGACUUCAUUUAAGGGUUGGCAGUGGAAGUGAGGAUAUCUUGUUGGAGACCCCUGUGUGUUGGACGAUUUCUGAAGAACAGCUGCAGCAUCAUGCAGAAAGGAGGGCGAAGAGGGGAAUCUGGAAGGAGUCCGACCAACUUCAAGCUCCUAAUCAAGCGGCUCCGAGAUCUUCACAAACACAGACUGGGAACUUUUAAUACGCUUUCUGCUUUUUUAAGAAAAUGCUGCCCUUCGUUACUUGGCAGCAGCCCAGCAAACACUGUCAGCGCUGCAUGAAAUCUCAGUCAAGAGAAGAGCUUUGUUUUCAUGCAAGAAAAGAUAAAAUUUUCUACUGUUGAAGCCCUGCCAUGCUGAAGCCCAGAGCUGUGGCCUCAGGUCUGCUCUGGGGGCUCUCUGUGUGACCCGGCUGAUUGGCAGCAAUGUGCCCCAAAGUGCCUUGUGAGCCACAGAUAUCUGUAUCUACAGCCCUUCCACGCUGAAAGCACAGAAAGG